rnacentral:rRNA from 1 species
UACGCAGGUGGCGAGCGUUUGUCCGGAUUUACUGGGCGUAAAGAGCGCGCAGGCGGUCGUUCAAGUCGCGUGUGAAAGCCCCCGGCUCAACUGGGGAGGGUCACGCGAUACUGAUCGACUCGAAGGCAGGAGAGGGAAGUGGAAUUCCCGGUGUAGUGGUGAAAUGCGUAGAUAUCGGGAGGAACACCAGUGGCGAAGGCGACUUCCUGGCCUGUUCUUGACGCUGAGGCGCGAAAGCUAGGGUAGCAAACGGG